GGCAGGUGAGAAUAUGUUACGCGAUAAGCGAUACGCUGUGGCUUAACGAUUUUCAGAUAGCACGAAUGCCAGCAAUCGUGCAACGUAGGAGUUCAAAGGGAGACAUGGUCAGUGUGGUUGGUAUGUCUUUCGAUGUCCUUAGUUCCUUGGCGAUAAAAAUUUGUUCUCCGGCACUGAGAUAACUUUUUUUGUGUGUUCUCGUUCUGUUCUAGGGUGCAAGCAACGUGUCAUUGUGGUUAGAAAAAAUGAAUCAGUAUACAUGUGAUUUAACUGUCAAAGCCGGAAUGUUUAAAGCAUACAUCCCGCCCAAGGCAUGCUGGGAUGAUCUACUAUCAGGCAGCUUGGAAGCUUCCAGACGCCGAUAUGCCUUACGUUCGGUGCAGCCGAGGUUAUGAACUGUCAAGUGGAAGAUGCCCCUUGAGGAAAACAAUUAGGAUCGACUGUCCAGCGUGGAGAUUGCGGAAUCAGCAGCUGACAUAUUGACUGAUGAAACAUGAUGGUGCGUGCAGCAAGAGAGGGUUUGACUGCAG